AUUUGCUUGACUCAAUCACAAGGAACCACACACCGAUCCUACACACAGGUCACCCUUUUCGCUGGGAGCUCAGCCACAAUCUCUUGGAACACUAUGCACUUAUUGUGCACACAUAGCAUUUUGGAUCAAGCUGUUACCAUCGUGUUAUGCUCUGGGCGCUGUUCCCCAUCCUUGGAGAGUUCCCCCAUCUCAACCCCGGGGGAGACACCAUGCCCGUACCACCGUCUACCUUGGCAGAUACCGAACUUGACCUUGAGGCUGUACAUAUAUUUAUAACACUCCUGGUGAAUGGCUGAAAUUCCAGGAAGCACAUAGCCACUAGAUGCCAACAGUUACUUGUCUCUACUACCUAUGUUCUUCAAUUGAUUUAUUUUACCAUGUACUGUAUAUCUGCCAUGUCUAAUUUGUAUUUGUAUUGCAUGCUAUGAGCAGCAUAUUUAGAGUAAGUCUUGUGACUACCUAUCUAUUUGAUACAAAAAAUCUGAUAUGUAUUCAAGAUUGUAAUAAAUCAUGUACUGUAACUUCAUUGUUAUGUUAUUAUUCUCUCUUGACAUGGUGUUCCCACAUUUAAAG